rnacentral:rRNA from 1 species
UACGGAAGGCAGCAGUGGGGAAUAUUGCACAAUGGGCGCAAGCCUGAUGCAGCCAUGCCGCGUGUAUGAAGAAGGCCUUCGGGUUGUAAAGUACUUUCAGCGGGGAGGAAGGCGGUGAAGUUAAUAGCUUCACCGAUUGACGUUACCCGCAGAAGAAGCACCGGCUAACUCCGUGCCAGCAGCCGCGGUAAUACGGAGGGUGCAAGCGUUAAAUCGGAAUUACUGGGCGUAAAGCGCACGCAGGCGGUCUGUCAAGUCGGAUGUGAAAUCCCCGGGCUUAACCUGGGAACUGCAUUCGAAACUGGCAGGCUAGAGUCUUGUAGAGGGGGUAGAAAUUCCAGGUGUAGCGGUGAAAUGCGUAGAGAUCUGGAGGAAUAACCGGUGGCGAAGGCGGCCCCUGGGACAAAGACUGACGCUCAGGGUGCGAAAGCGUGGGGAGCAAAACAGGGAUUAGAUACC